AACGAACGCUGGCGGCAUGCCUAACACAUGCAAGUCGAACGAGACCUUCGGGUCUAGUGGCGCACGGGUGCGUAACGCGUGGGAACCUGCACUUAGGUUCGGAAUAACUCCCCGAAAGGUGUGCUAAUACCGGAUAAUGUCUUCGGACCAAAGAUUUAUCGCCUUUGGAUGGGCCCGCGUUGGUUUAGCUAGUUGGUAGGGUAAAAGCCUACCAAGGCGACGAUCCAUAGCUGGUCUGAGAGGAUGAUCAGCCACACUGGGACUGAGACACGGCCCAGACUCCUACGGGAGGCAGCAGUGGGGAAUAUUGGACAAUGGGAGAAAGCCUGAUCCAGCAAUGCCGCGGGAGUGAUGAAGGCCUUAGGGUUGUAAAGCUCUUUUACCCGGGAUGAUAAUGACAGUACCGGGAGAAUAAGCGCCGGCUAACUCCGUG
rnacentral:rRNA from 1 species